UUUGACUGGUACUGUAUAUAUUUAUUGUUAACUUUUGACUGGUACUGUAUAUAUUAUUGUUCACUUUUGACUGGUACUGUAUAUAUUAUUGUUCACUUUUUGCGUAAAGCUUUGCUGUUGAUUACUGCAUUCAGUUUAGGAUGCUCAUUUUGGCAGGUCCUAAUAAUGUCUGUUUAUUUGGGAUCUGAAAGUGAAGAUGUUUGUAAGUUAUAUCUGAGCAUACUCCAUGACCAUGUGUUAAGGAAACACACACAAGUGUGGAGGUAGAGAGAGCGAGAGAGAGAUGUUUUUCAUGCCAAUAAAGUUAUUGAAUUGAAUUGAGAGGUGUAUGGAGGUAGAGAGAGGUAGAGGGAGAGAAGUGUAGGGAGGUAGAGAGCGGUAGAGGGAGAGAGAGGUGUAGGGAGGUAGAGAGCGGUAGAGAGCGGUAGAGGGAGAGAGGUGUAGGGAGGUAGAGGGAGAGAGAGGUGUAGGGAGGUAGAGCGAGAGGUACAGAGGGUCAGAGGUG
rnacentral:lncRNA from 1 species